AGAGUUUGAUCCUGGCUCAGGAUGAACGCUAGCGACAGGCCUAACACAUGCAAGUCGAGGGGUAACAUUACUGCUUGCAGUAGAUGACGACCGGCGCACGGGUGAGUAACGCGUAUGCAACCUGCCUUGUACAGGGGGAUAGCCCGGAGAAAUCCGGAUUAAUACCGCAUAAUAUGAUUGAUUCGCAUGGAUUAAUUAUUAAACCUUCGGGGGUACAAGAUGGGCAUGCGUAGCAUUAGUUAGUUGGUAAGGUAACGGCUUACCAAGACGAUGAUGCUUAGGGGGUCUGAGAGGAUAGUCCCCCACACUGGUACUGAGACACGGACCAGACUCCUACGGGAGGCAGCAGUGAGGAAUAUUGGUCAAUGGGCGCAAGCCUGAACCAGCCAUGUCGCGUGCAGGAUGACGGCCCUAUGGGUUGUAAACUGCUUUUUUACGGGAAUAAACGUUUCUACGUGUAGAGAUUUGAAGGUACCGUAUGAAUAAG
rnacentral:rRNA from 1 species